UCCAAAAGUUGUUAGGUCUGAUUGGGUAGUAGGACCCAACGCUAUUGGGUCCUACUAGGAGACAGAACCCAACGUUUCUUUCCUCCUCUUCUAUCACCAGCACCCUUUGAAA
rnacentral:pre_miRNA from 13 species